rnacentral:misc_RNA from 1 species
AAGUCGUAACAAGGUUUCCGUAGGUGAACCUGCGGAAGGAUCAUUAACACGUUUUCCAACGUUUGAUUUUUGAAUCAUCCACACCCAACCGUUGCACCCUGAGCUCAUGCUGAUGUAUUCGUAAGGAUAUGGAUGCAUGGGAUCAAUCACUCGGCAUGCACUGUCACAGGUGUAUGUCUUCUACCCUUCAACCUAUUUUUCACCCCUUUUUUUUGACUCACCCUACCAACCCCUAGUGGCCUGAUCACUUGUGUCAACCUGUCAUGGGCUGACCGAACCAUAUGGAUGUUUCCAAAUGAGUUUUUUAAAUACAACUCUUAGCAAUGGAUAUCUUGGUUCUC